rnacentral:rRNA from 1 species
GAUGAACGCUGGCGGCGUGCCUAAUACAUGCAAGUCGAGCGAACGGACGAGAAGCUUGCUUCUCUGAUGUUAGCGGCGGACGGGUGAGUAACACGUGGAUAACCUACCUAUAAGACUGGGAUAACUUCGGGAAACCGGAGCUAAUACCGGAUAAUAUUUUGAACCGCAUGGUUCAAAAGUGAAAGACGGUCUUGCUGUCACUUAUAGAUGGAUCCGCGCUGCAUUAGCUAGUUGGUAAGGUAACGGCUUACCAAGGCAACGAUGCAUAGCCGACCUGAGAGGGUGAUCGGCCACACUGGAACUGAGACACGGUCCAGACUCCUACGGGAGGCAGCAGUAGGGAAUCUUCCGCAAUGGGCGAAAGCCUGACGGAGCAACGCCGCGUGAGUGAUGAAGGUCUUCGGAUCGUAAAACUCUGUUAUUAGGGAAGAACAUAUGUGUAAGUAACUGUGCACAUCUUGACGGUACCUAAUCAGAAAGCCAUGGCUAACUACGUGCCAGCAGCCGCGGUAAUACGUAGGUGGCAAGCGUUAUCCGGAAUUAUUGGGCGUAAAGCGCGCGUAGGCGGUUUUUUAAGUCUGAUGUGAAAGCCCACGGCUCAACCGUGGAGGGUCAUUGGAAACUGGAAAACUUGAGUGCAGAAGAGGAAAGUGGAAUUCCAUGUGUAGCGGUGAAAUGCGCAGAGAUAUGGAGGAACACCAGUGGCGAAGGCGACUUUCUGGUCUGUAACUGACGCUGAUGUGCGAAAGCGUGGGGAUCAAACAGGAUUAGAUACCCUGGUAGUCCACGCCGUAAACGAUGAGUGCUAAGUGUUAGGGGGUUUCCGCCCCUUAGUGCUGCAGCUAACGCAUUAAGCGCUCCGCCUGGGGAGUACGACCGCAAGGUUGAAACUCAAAGGAAUUGACGGGGACCCGCACAAGCGGUGGAGCAUGUGGUUUAAUUCGAAGCAACGCGAAGAACCUUACCAAAUCUUGACAUCCUUUGACAACUCUAGAGAUAGAGCCUUCCCCUUCGGGGGACAAAGUGACAGGUGGUGCAUGGUCGUCGUCAGCUCGUGUCGUGAGAUGUUGGGUUAAGUCCCGCAACGAGCGCAACCCUUAAGCUUAGUUGCCAUCAUUAAGUUGGGCACUCUAAGUUGACUGCCGGUGACAAACCGGAGGAAGGUGGGGAUGACGUCAAAUCAUCAUGCCCCUUAUGAUUUGGGCUACACACGUGCUACAAUGGACAAUACAAAGGGCAGCGAAACCGCGAGGUCAAGCAAAUCCCAUAAAGUUGUUCUCAGUUCGGAUUGUAGUCUGCAACUCGACUACAUGAAGCUGGAAUCGCUAGUAAUCGUAGAUCAGCAUGCUACGGUGAAUACGUUCCCGGGUCU